CGAGUGGUAGCCACUAUUAUUGGGCCUAAAGCGUUCGUAGCCGGUUUAGUAAAUUCUUGGGUAAAUCGUACAGCUUAACUGUGCGGAUUCCGGGGACACUACUAGACUUGAGACCGGGAGAGAUUAGAGGUACUUGCAGGGGAGCGGUGAAAUGUUGUAAUCCUGCAGGGACCACCAGUGGCGAAGGCGUCUAAUCAUAACGGCUCUGACGGUGAGGAACGAAACCCUGGGGCGCAAACGGGAUUAGAUACCCCGGUAGUCCAGGGCGUAAACGCUGCUGACUUGGUGUUGGAGAUCCUACGAGGGUGUCCAGUGCUGGCGCGAAGGUAUUAAGUCAGCCGCCUGGGGAGUACGGUCGCAAGACUGAAACUUAAAGGAAUUGGCGGGGGAGCACUGCAACGUGUGGAGCGUGCGGUUUAAUUGGAUUCAACGCCGGAAAACUCACCGGGGGCGACGGUUACAUGAAGGCCAAGCUGAUGACUUUGCCUGAUUUUCCGAGAGGUGGUGCAUGGCCGCCGUCAGUUCGUACCGUAAGGCGUUCUGUUAAGUCAGAUAACGAACGAGACCUCCGUCACCAUUUGCUAUCUUCUUCUCCGGAAGGAGAGCACUAUGGUGGUACCGCCGCUGUUAAAGCGGAGGAAGGAGGGGGCAACGGUAGGUCAGUAUGCCCCGAAUCUCCCGGGCUACACGCGCGCUACAAAGGGCAGGACAAUGGGCUUCGACACCGAAAGGUGAAGGCAAUCCUGAAACCUGCUCGUAAUUCGGAUUGAGGGCUGCAAUUCGCCCUCAUGAAGCUGGAAUACGUAGUAAUCGCGGGUCAACAUCCCGCGGUGAAUAUGCCCCUGCUCCUUGCACACACCGCCCGUCAAACCACCUUAGUUGGGUCUGGACGAGGGUUUGUCUUCUGACACGCUCGAAUCUGGGUUCAGCGAGGAGGGUUAAGUCGUAACAAGGUAUCCGUA
rnacentral:rRNA from 1 species